AAAAAAAAAGUGUGGAAAGGAAAUUUUUGCAAAUAUUAAGAAGGAGUGCCACUCAGGGCAAAUACGGGGGUGAACAGGACAAGCCCCGAGCCCAGGAGCCCUGGGCGCUCCAGGUGGGCAGGGGGGCCCCAUCUCAUCGCUGCUGCGCGGCCGGGCCAAGCUCGGUGCCAGCUCCUUCAACUGCACAGGGGAGGUAAUCACGGCACCUGCCUCCCAGGACUGUUAACGGAAAAUACACGUGUGCUGGCACGCCCCACACACUCACUGAACUACAGCCCCUGUGCGUGAGUUCUCAACUUCCCAGCCAUCUGCCUGCCCCUGCCCUCACCCCCGCGGCAGCCAGAGGGAUCCUGGUAAAGCCUGGGCUCCAUCGGGGGCCCACGCCGACUGACCAUCCACAGCGGUCUCCUCUCUGAAACUCUGAAGGAUUCUUCAAAAACGAAGAACAGUGAUGGGGAAUGGGGAUGCGAGCAGAUAAGAGUGGAGGAAGACAGGGGCUUUUCAUCUUCUGGGUGUUGAAUCACAGGAGUGCUCUACGUGGUCACAAAAGAGGAAGACGUGAAGCCAGGAGAAACCCUGAUGAGAAGGAGGAAACAAUUCCAGAGACAAAAUUCUUCUUUGGAUUUUUUUCUCCAAUCAUUGUACGAUCUGCUUUAUACUUUUCAAAAAGUCUCUGCUAGAAGGUCUCUGCCACCCUGCCCUGCCUGCUAUAAAAUGUCCCAGUUUGAGGGCCAGAGAAACUACAGUUCUGGACCAGUGGUCAGGAAGCACACGGCCCCCCAAAAGUCCAAGCGGGCCACACCUAGGUGCUGGGGGUGGGAGAGAGCGGGGGUACCCCCUUCAACCCCAACCACCCCAGGGCUCCUCCCAGCAGCCCUGAGAGGCCACAGACGUGGUGGAAAGAACCCAGCCUCUGGAACCUGACAGCCCUGACAGCCUCUGACUUUCCAGCACAUUCUUUGCCCCAGACCCCUUACCCAUAUCUUGAUAUCUCUGGCUUUAUUUCGUCCUCACAACAUCUUUAAGAAGGAGCUGCGUUCAUGCCCCCAUUUCAGAGCUGGGGAGGUCGAGGCCAGAGAAUCUCGUGCUCACAAUUACAAUAUAAGAGUGUCCCAAGCCUGGAGUCCCACCAGCCUGUCUG